rnacentral:lncRNA from 10 species
GAAAGAUUUCAUGUCUAAAUGUGUAGGAAAAAAGGGGGUUUUGUUUUUCAACUCAGAAAAGUGAAUUUUCAACAGAAAGCUAUAGAAAGGCUGGAAUCUCUUCUAAUGUAUAAGAAUAUAUACUUUUUUUUUUUUUGCAGGGGAGGGGAGAAUUAAGACAGCUUCUAUAAAUUAAAAACCAAGAAGCUUUCCAACAAUCUAAGACAAGAUUCUAGAAGGAGUGGAAUAUAGAGUUCUGUAGGCUAGACUGAGGUGUCUUGCUAAAAUCUGACAAUGGCAGUCUUUUUUCAACCAUGGAGAAAAAUGUGCUUCUAAACACUAAGAGAACGGGUCAAGGGCAGAGGAUUUCUGUGGGAUCUGUGCUCACUCAUAGUCAUGGUAGAGGAAGCUGAAUCCCAGAGCAAAGGACACCAGGAAGAGGAGAGGGUUUCUCUGGAAACAGCAGGGUAGGUGCAGGCUGACGUGCUUAUUGACAUGGCAACCUGAACACACCUGGAGACACCUGCUCCACCACCCAGAUGGCCAUGAAUGGAGCAAGUUCUUCCCACUGUUGCUCUCUUCUCUUUUCUGCAAAGUUACACAAGGGUCAAGUCCCAUCAAGGGUCCCAUCUCCAUCUUUUCUCAAGAUGAAGCUGGAAGUCAUCUUGCCACUGGGACCCACCCUUUGGAAAGACCUCUGCCCAGACAAGGAAAGUGCUGCCUCAAUUGCAUGAUUUGAGUGACUUUGGGAGGGUAUUCCUGUCCCCAAAUAGACCUCCUCUCCUGACAUGUCACACUGGCCGAAAUUCCACUAUUACAGCUGUUCUUUUCAGGUAAAAAGAAAUGAAACCUCUUUCUAAAUAUAAACACUCCCAGAAAGGGUACUUGAUGUUUGUCGAUUGUAAUUUUUUCUCACAUAAAGAUGUUUUUUC